CAGGUCAGCAUACUGCCGUGAAUACGUUCCCGGGCCUUGUACACACCGCCCGUCACACCAUGAGAGUUGGGAAUACCCGAAGCCUGUGAGCUAACGUAAGAGGCAGCAGUCGAAGGUAGAAUCAAUGAUUGGGGUGAAGUCGUAACAAGGUAGC
rnacentral:rRNA from 1 species